rnacentral:misc_RNA from 1 species
GAUGAAGAACGUAGCGAAAUGCGAUAAGUAGUGUGAAUUGCAGAAUUCAGUGGAUCAUCGAAUCUUUGAACGCACAUUGCGCCCCAUGGUAUUCCGUGGGGCAUGCCUGUUCGAGCGUCAUUUACCCCCUCAAGCUCCGCUUGGUGUUGGGCGUCUGUCCCGCUUCGCGCGCGGACUCGCCCCAAAGGUAUUGGCAGCGGUCGUGCCAGCUUCUCGCGCAGCACAUUGCGCUUCUCGAGGCACCGGUGGGCCCGCGUCCAUCAAGCUCACCCCCCCAGUUUGACCUCGGAUCAGGUAGGGAUACCCGCUGAACUUAAGCAUAUCAAUAAGCGGAGGA